GUGUGUACGAGUGUGUGCAUCUCCUUUACAGAUCCCAUCUCUAAUUGUAGGUCGGGAAGUUGCAUGCAAUGUGCAAUAUUCAUUAAGAGGCAUAACGUUGUGAAUGCGUGCAUCCAUUCAUCAGAUGACUCCUGUUACAGAUCAUUCACGCUGGAUGUUUAAACUUUGAACUAAGAACAGCUGCUAAUAAAACAUGCCGGAAUCAUAUCUGGUAGGGUUUUUAGGAAUGAAUGAAUCAUAAUAGGACACAUCUUUGCAAAAAUCUUUUUAUGGUAUUAGACUUGUUCAAUAGGUAAAAAAGGAUUAGCUCAUUGGUUCCUAACUUGUGGGGUUUUUCUAGCCAAGUCGUCCAAGUUUAUUUUAGUGGUUAACAGCAUAUAUUCAGUUUUUUAGCAAUGCUUCACUUCCUCUCACUGUACAGUGUCAUUCCUAAAGGGGAGCCCAAAGCGAUAUGUCUUGUGUGUACAUUGUUCAUUUAUUUAUUAAAACUGAAAUAUUUAGUUUUCUUUCUCCCUUUUUGUUGUUGUUGUGUUUUGCAUCUAUUUCCUUUAUACCAGGAAUAGAUGUCAUUGUCACAUUUUUAUUUCAUUGUCUUGCACUGGAAGUGUGCUUUUUAUUCCUUCUUUUGUGAAGCUGAGUUGAGUUAAUAAAAGCACUGGCAGUUUUUUUUUGUUUUUUGGAGGUGGAUGUAGAUCUUUUUUUGUUGUUGUUCCUUAUUUCUCUAUCAUACUCGUGAUCAACUUUGAAAGUAUUCAUCUGGAACAUCAGAGCAUGUAGUUUACAUCCUUUUGAGCUUAUGUGAGAAAAUACCCAGUGAGAGUUUAAAUGAACUUCACUGACCGCAUGUUAAUUUACUCCUUUGUUUUGUUGUUCUUGUUUUAUUCUCUGUUAUUUGAAACCAUUCUAACCAGUAUCACCACCAUUAAAGUCAUAUAUCAUGCCUGUGUUUGGUGCCGGAGCUACAUUCACUCUGCUGUCCCAUUAAGCUGCAUAAAACAUCUACUACUCUGAGGAGCCUGUAACACUUUAAAUCUUGGUUUCCCUGAGCUAUGACCAUAUCCAGUCAUGUACAGCACCCUCCACAAUCAUUGGCCAUAAUUUUUUUUAUUAAAAUAAAACAAACAAACAGGAUAUUGCCGUAGAGACUUGGUGACCAUAUGAUGCUUCCCCUUAUCCCCGUUGUUGAUAUGGGUGAGUUCAGGUGAGGUUCUAGUUUCUUGUAGCUACUUCCUAACUUUUGUGGAACAGUUCAUCAUCAGCCUUACUUAAAUGGUAUGGAUGCUUGUCUUUCCCAUUUUGAAUAGUGGCUUAGAGAAAUGGAGCUCUGUGUCGUCUCCUAUUUAUACCCAAGGAAAGAAGGGGUCAGGGGCUUUUAAAUAUAAGUUUCUUGAUAACAUAAUCAACUUGAAAGGCUUCUCCUGAAGGAGUAAGAAAUCUGCACCGAUGAUUUUACGAUACCCAAGGAAAAGUAAACAUUGAGCACGGAAAAAGUGACCUUCCCAGAUUAAAUGCUAUUCAAUUUAAUAAAUUUGAUUUUUGAUUUGCCACAUCAGAACAGAAAGUUUUUAUUAUUGAUUAUUUUGUUUUUUGAGUUAGUAACAGAUAAAUACGCGCUCAUUCUUAAAUUCAAAAGCUGUUUCAUUCCCCUUUUGGAAUUUAUAUUAUUUUACACCUGUGUUUUAAACUGGUUUAGUUGUGCACACGGCUGUUUUGGUUUUAUAAAAUGGAGUUAUUACUGAUCACAAAUUGGGAUUUAAAGGCGUUGUAUUUGGGUCCAAUUCUGAUUUUCUAGAAUCCUUCACCAUGUUGCUGAAUUGGAAGUCAGCUCCAGUGCUGUGCUGUUUCAUGCAUUUUGUAAACACAACAACCAAUCCGAGAGUUUACAAGCAGAGAUCGAACAUGAACGACAAAUCUUUAUCCAAGAUCCUAAUUCAGAAUGAUUUGCUCUUACAGGCUCUUCCCUUUUAGCUUUUUGGGACUUCACUGGCAGGUUCACAUGCACACUCCUCUUCUGGCCUGCUUUCAGCGCUUACUUAAUUUCAUUGUAAUCUCUUAAUCUGGUCAGCUAAUCCAAAGCAGGCACGCUGAACUUCUUUACCCUACUUUGUCGUUCAUGCUCUGAGCAUCAAACGGCCGGUUCGCUUCUUCAGAACGCCAUUCUCAUUCUAGCUUUUCCAUACUUUCAAAACCUGCAUCAAACUCAACCCGGAAAACCCAUCCAAACAUCUGGCCUCAGCCAGGUGUUUCACGUUCUUUUCCUGUCAUUCAUACUUGAACACCGCGUCUUCUGCCAAAGAUAAUAAUGGUAAUUCACACAUCAUUUUUGUUUUUGCAGCUCUGAUAGAGCCUCAUCUGCAGAUCUCAGAAAAAAUCUCACCAACAGAAUCCUAAAGCCCCUCUGUCCUGUUACACAAUAAUAAUAAAAAACGCACACAAGUGGAAAAUACAGUAUUUCCCUGCAGCAUAACAGUGCCUCCUGGUGGACAGACAUCUUUGUUCUCCAGUUGCUCAGAAUGUUCUUUCCUGCUGUCUCAUUUUAUCCCUUUAUCUUUUCUGUACUAAUUUGGAGACGUUAUCAGAAAGCAAUAUAUAUAUAUAUAUAUUUCUCUCCUGUGCAGAUGUGUGCUUGUUUAGAGGAAAAGUCGUGACAACAUUUGGUCUAAUCAAGCGCAAGAGAGAAAGAAGGAAGAUGUUCACACAAUUAUGCGUGCAAAAUAUAUAUAUAAAAAAUGAAACAAUAAAAUGAUUUGUGUAUGAAAGACUAUUUUUGCUGUAAAGAGAAGAGAAUGUAACGCUUGGACUGUAUUGAGGCACGAAAGCUACAUGAUGGGGGUUUAUUAUUUAGUUAAACAAAAAGGCAAAAUGCCAGUAGUUUGUUUAGACUUGCAGUAUGGUUUUCAUGUUUUUAUCAUCAUUUGGAUCUGUUCUUUUUUCCUUUUAUUGAAUAGAAAUGAGCUCUUAAAGCUCUCAAUCAAAGUUCUAACAGGACUUGAAAGCACUUUCAGAAACUGCAAAGCUUCCCAGCGGUAAGUGUCGGGAGAGAGGUUAAUGUUUUAAACAGUGAAUAAAUACAAGAAAUAUCAUUAUUACCCACACAUAUCUUCUUAAAGUUGCACUGUUGCUUAUGAUUGUGGCUCAAAGGAUUGUCCUAAAAUACACAUUUAUGAAACUUGUUAAAAAUACCUACCGAAGCAAAUAAAUAAAAUAUCCUGGAUCCUUAUUUUUGGCUCUUACCCUAUGUCUAUUUUUGUCCAUGUUCAAAUCAAGAUCAAAUAAAUAAAUUAAUAAAUGUAAUUUAAAGGAA